CCACGGGCAGGUUUUCAGACAAAGGAUCCCUGGCAAUCAGGGGACACCUCAGGUCUGGGCUGAGAUGUGUGCAGAGGGCCUGGGUCCUCCUGAGCCCCUGCACUGGGGGGGGAAUAAGAGACAGGCCCAGCAAGGGGCUGUCCACUUCCUGUGGGUUCACAGCUGUGGGGACCCAGGCAGGCGGCAGCAGGCUCUGACUUAACCACAUCCGUGCAUCUGUCUGUCAUGGAGGGCCAUGUGGUCACCUGUCCCACAGCUGGAGCACGCAGAGCAGGCAUCAUGGUGUCCAUCCUCACUGUUCUUCUGUGCCUCAGUCAGUGGUGGAGAGACGAGGGACAGGAGGGGCACUGGGCUGAGGUGGGGAGGGUCCCACAGCAGCCUUGUUCACCAGAGAGCCUCAGGGCUCCAGUGGCUACUGGUGCUCCAACAGGAAGGGAAGCAGCCACACCUCUGUGUUCCAAAUCCCCCACAGGAAACUCUUCUCCAUGGCUGAGUCUGGGCCAGAAAGCCCAAGCACUUGCAGGGACCCUCCCCAAACCCAGCCUCUGGGCUGAGCCAGGCUCUGUGAUUACCUGGGAGAGCCCCAUGACCCUCUGGUGCCAGGGGACCCUGGAUACCCAGGGUUACUAUCUCACCAAGGAAGGAAACCCCAUGACCUGGUACCAACAGAGCCCACCAGAGCCCAGGAACAAGACCAACUUCUUCAUCCCAUCCAUGAGAGAGCACCAUGCAGGGAGAUACCACUGUCACUAUCUCAGCCCUGCAGGCUGGUCAGAGCGCAGCGAGCCCCUGGAGCUGGUGGUGACAGGAGCCCACAGAAAACCCACUCUCUCAGCCCUGCCGAGCCCUGUGGUGACCUCAGGAGAGAACGUGACCCAUCCAGUGUAGCUCAAGGGUGGGAUUUCACAGGUUCAUUUUGAUUGAGGAAGGAGAAAACAAGCUCUCCUGGAUGCUGGACUCACAGGAACUCUCCAAGGGGCUGUCCCUUGUCCCUGGCCCUGUUCCCUGUGGGCCGUGUGGCUGCCAGUCACCGGUGGAUGUUCAGAUGCUAUGGGCAUUACACGAACUUCCCCUGGGUGUGGUCGGAACCCAGUGAUACCAUGGAGAUCCUGGUCUUAGGCGUGUCUAGGAAGCCCUCCCUCCUGACCCUGCAGGGCCCUGUCGUGGCCCCUGGGGAGAAUCUGACCCUCCAGUGUGGCUCUGAUGUCGGCUAUGACAAAUUCACUCUGUACAAGGAGGGGGGACAUGACCUCGUCCAGGGCUCUGGCCGGCAGCCCCAGGCUGGGCUCUCCCAGGCCAACUUCACCCUGGGCCCUGUGAGGGUCUCCCACGGGGGCCAGUACAGAUGCUACGGUGCACACAACCUCUCCUCCGAGUGGUCGGCCCCCAGUGACCCCCUGAGCAUCCUGAUCGCAGGACAGAUCCGUGGCAGACCCUCCCUCUCGGUGCAGCCGGGCCCCACGGUGGCCUCAGGAGAGAACGUGACCCUGCUGUGUCAGUCACGGGAGCAGUUGGACACUUUCCUUCUGACCAAGGAGGGGGCAGCCCAUCACCCACUGCGUCUGAGAUCAGAGCACCAAGCUCAGCAGCACCAGGCUGAAUUCCCCAUGAGUCCUGUGACCUCAGCCCACGCGGGGACCUACAGGUGCUACAGCUCACGCAGAUUCUUCCCCUACCUGCUGUCUCACCCCAGUGACCCCCUGGAGCUCGUGGUCUCAGGAGCAGCUGAGACCCUCAGCCCAUCGCAAAACAAGACAGACUCCAAGACUGCCUCACACCCCCAGGAUUACACAGUGGAGAAUCUCAUCCGCGUGGCUGUGGCUGGCUUGGUCCUGGUGGUCCUCGGGAUUCUGCUGCUUUAGGAUUGGCACAGCUAGAGAAGUCCCCAAGAUGCAGCAAGGAGGUAAAUACAUGAGAGAACAAUGCACCCUUCAGAGUGCCAGAGCCUUGGCAAUGAGUCUGAUAGUCCUAGGAGGUUCUGGAAGAAAGUCUGGACCAUCAUUCGGGAAACCGUCUACUGAGAAAGUCGAGAAGGGGAGGCUUGGGUCAGGUUCAGGGAGAUGUCUGGGUGCCUGUAGAGAACGCUUCCUCCAUUAAACUUCCAUUAAAUGGCAGUGCUUUCAGUCCA
ensembl:lncRNA LILRP2 leukocyte immunoglobulin-like receptor pseudogene 2